rnacentral:rRNA from 1 species
UACGGGGGGGGCAAGCGUUGUUCGGAAUUACUGGGCGUAAAGGGCUCGUAGGCGGCCAACUAAGUCAGACGUGAAAUCCCUCGGCUUAACCGGGGAACUGCGUCUGAUACUGGAUGGCUUGAGUUUGGGAGAGGGAUGCGGAAUUCCAGGUGUAGCGGUGAAAUGCGUAGAUAUCAGGAAGAACACCAAUGGCGAAAGCAGCUCUCUGGGACGGUACUGACGCUGAGACGCGAAAGCGUGGGGAGCGAACAGG